UGGCUCAGGAUGAACGCUGGCGGCGUGCCUAAUACAUGCAAGUCGAGCGAACGGACGAGAAGCUUGCUUCUCUGAUGUUAGCGGCGGACGGGUGAGUAACACGUGGAUAACCUACCUAUAAGACUGGGAUAACUUCGGGAAACCGGAGCUAAUACCGGAUAAUAUUUUGAACCGCAUGGUUCAAAAGUGAAAGACGGUCUUGCUGUCACUUAUAGAUGGAUCCGCGCUGCAUUAGCUAGUUGGUAAGGUAACGGCUUACCAAGGCAACGAUGCAUAGCCGACCUGAGAGGGUGAUCGGCCACACUGGAACUGAGACACGGUCCAGACUCCUACGGGAGGCAGCAGUAGGGAAUCUUCCGCAAUGGGCGAAAGCCUGACGGAGCAACGCCGCGUGAGUGAUGAAGGUCUUCGGAUCGUAAAACUCUGUUAUUAGGGAAGAACAUAUGUGUAAGUAACUGUGCACAUCUUGACGGUACCUAAUCAGAAAGCCACGGCUAACUACGUGCCAGCAGCCGCGGUAAUACGUAGGUGGCAAGCGUUAUCCGGAAUUAUUGGGCGUAAAGCGCGCGUAGGCGGUUUUUUAAGUCUGAUGUGAAAGCCCACGGCUCAACCGUGGAGGGUCAUUGGAAACUGGAAAACUUGAGUGCAGAAGAGGAAAGUGGAAUUCCAUGUGUAGCGGUGAAAUGCGCAGAGAUAUGGAGGAACACCAGUGGCGAAGGCGACUUUCUGGUCUGUAACUGACGCUGAUGUGCGAAAGCGUGGGGAUCAAACAGGAUUAGAUACCCUGGUAGUCCACGCCAUAAACGAUGAGUGCUAAGUGUUAGGGGGUUUCCGCCCCUUAGUGCUGCAGCUAACGCAUUAAGCACUCCGCCUGGGGAGUACGACCGCAAGGUUGAAACUCAAAGGAAUUGACGGGGACCCGCACAAGCGGUGGAGCAUGUGGUUUAAUUCGAAGCAACGCGAAGAACCUUACCAAAUCUUGACAUCCUUUGACAACUCUAGAGAUAGAGCCUUCCCCUUCGGGGGACAAAGUGACAGGUGGUGCAUGGUUGUCGUCAGCUCGUGUCGUGAGAUGUUGGGUUAAGUCCCGCAACGAGCGCAACCCUUAAGCUUAGUUGCCAUCAUUAAGUUGGGCACUCUAAGUUGACUGCCGGUGACAAACCGGAGGAAGGUGGGGAUGACGUCAAAUCAUCAUGCCCCUUAUGAUUUGGGCUACACACGUGCUACAAUGGACAAUACAAAGGGCAGCGAAACCGCGAGGUCAAGCAAAUCCCAUAAAGUUGUUCUCAGUUCGGAUUGUAGUCUGCAACUCGACUACAUGAAGCUGGAAUCGCUAGUAAUCGUAGAUCAGCAUGCUACGGUGAAUACGUUCCCGGGUCUUGUACACACCGCCCGUCACACCACGAGAGUUUGUAACACCCGAAGCCGGUGGAGUAACCUUUUAGGAGCUAGCCGUCGAAGGUGGGACA
rnacentral:rRNA from 1 species